GAUGAACGCUGGCGGCGUGCCUAAUACAUGCAAGUCGAGCGAACGGACGAGAAGCUUGCUUCUCUGAUGUUAGCGGCGGACGGGUGAGUAACACGUGGAUAACCUACCUAUAAGACUGGGAUAAUUUCGGGAAACUGGAGCUAAUACCGGAUAAUAUUUUGAACCGCAUGGUUCAAAAGUGAAAGACGGUAUUGCUGUCAGUUAUAGAUGGAUCCGCGCUGCAUUAGCUAGUUGGUAAGGUAACGGCCUACCAAGGCAACGAUGCAUAUCAGAACUGAGAGAGAGAACAGCCACACUAGAACUGAAAAACGGUCCUGACUCCUACGAGAGGCACCAGUAGGGAAUAUUCCGCAAUAGGCGCAAGCCGGACAGAAGAACGCCGCGUGAGUGAUGAAGGUCGACUGGUCGUAAAACACUCUUACUAGGGAAGAACAGAUGUGUCAGAAACUGCUCACAUCGUGACGUUACCUAAACAAAAAGCAGCGGCUAACUCCGUG
rnacentral:rRNA from 1 species